rnacentral:rRNA from 1 species
AGAGUUUGAUCCUGGCUCAGGACGAACGCUGGCGGCGUACCUAACACAUGCAAGUCGAGCGAUGAAGUUUCCUUCGGGAAACGGAUUAGCGGCGGACGGGUGAGUAACACGUGGGUAACCUGCCUUGUAGAGGGGGAUAGCCUUCCGAAAGGAAGAUUAAUACCGCAUAAGAUUGUAGUUUCGCAUGAAACAGCAAUUAAAGGAGCAAUCCGCUACAAGAUGGACCCGCGGCGCAUUAGCUAGUUGGUGAGGUAACGGCUCACCAAGGCGACGAUGCGUAGCCGACCUGAGAGGGUGAUCGGCCACAUUGGGACUGAGACACGGCCCAAACUCCUACGGGAGGCAGCAGUGGGGAAUAUUGCACAAUGGGGGAAACCCUGAUGCAGCAACGCCGCGUGAGUGAUGACGGCCUUCGGGUUGUAAAGCUCUGUCUUUGGGGACGAUAAUGACGGUACCCAAGGAGGAAGCCACGGCUAACUACGUGCCAGCAGCCGCGGUAAUACGUAGGUGGCGAGCGUUAUCCGGAUUUACUGGGCGUAAAGGGAGCGUAGGCGGAUUUUUAAGUGGGAUGUGAAAUACCCGGGCUCAACCUGGGUGCUGCAUUCCAAACUGGAAAUCUAGAGUGCAGGAGGGGAAAGUGGAAUUCCUAGUGUAGCGGUGAAAUGCGUAGAUAUCGGGAAGAACACCAAUGGCGAAGGCAGGUCUCUGGGCCGUUACUGACGCUGAGGAGCGAAAGCGUGGGGAGCGAACAGGAUUAGAUACCCCGGUAGUCCUGGCCGUAAACGAUGGGUACUAGGUGUAGGAGGUAUCGACCCCUUCUGUGCCGGAGUUAACGCAAUAAGUACCCCGCCUGGGGAGUACGACCGCAAGGUUGAAACUCAAAGGAAUUGACGGGGGCCCGCACAAGCAGCGGAGCAUGUGGUUUAAUUCGAAGCAACGCGAAGAACCUUACCUAGACUUGACAUCUCCUGAAUUACCAUGUAAUGUGGGAAGUCCCUUCGGGGACAGGAAGACAGGUGGUGCAUGGUUGUCGUCAGCUCGUGCCGGGAGAUGUUGGGUUAAGUCCCGCAACGAGCGCAACCCCUAUUGUUAGUUGCUACCAUUAAGUUGAGCACUCUAGCGAGACUGCCCGGGUUAACCGGGGGGAAGGUGGGGAUGACGUCAAAUCAUCAUGCCCCUUAUGUCUAGGGCUACACACGUGCUACAAUGGCAAGUACAGAGAGAUGCGAUACCGCGAGGUGGAGCUAAACUUCAAAACUUGUCUCAGUUCGGAUUGUAGGCUGAAACUCGCCUACAUGAAGCUGGAGUUACUAGUAAUCGUGAAUCAGCAUGUCGCGGUGAAUACGUUCCCGGGCCUUGCACACACCGCCCGUCA